rnacentral:snRNA from 1 species
GUGCUUGCUUCAGCAGUACAUAUACUAAAAUUGGAACAUUACAAAGAAGAUUAGCAUGGUCCCUGUGCAAGGAUGACACAUAAAUUCAUGAAGCAUUUCAUAUUAAA